CGAGCUUGUGAAAGCUUGAGGAAACUCCGCCCACCGUGCAGAGUUGCAGCACCUGAAAAGGUGCAGGGCGAGAGCCUUGGCAACAGAGCAGAAACGAAACGUCCAUCCAGCGAUGUGACUAUGAUACAUGCUAAGUUGUUGAGGAUGCUGGAUGGAAACGGUGAAACGGCUGUCCUGCAAGGUG
rnacentral:RNase_P_RNA from 1 species